UACGAGGGGGGCAAGCGUUGUUCGGAAUUAUUGGGCGUAAAGGGCGCGUAGGCGGCGCGGUAAGUCACUUGUGAAAUCUCUGAGCUUAACUCAGAACGGCCAAGUGAUACUGCAGUACUAGAGUGCGGAAGGGGCAAUCGGAAUUCUUGGUGUAGCGGUGAAAUGCGUAGAUAUCAAGAGGAACACCUGAGGUGAAGACGGGUUGCUGGGCCGACACUGACGCUGAUGCGCGAAAGCCAGGGGAGCAAACGGG
rnacentral:rRNA from 1 species